rnacentral:lncRNA from 12 species
CCAGCCUAGCAUAACUCCUAAUACUUUAUAUAACCAUGAAAUUCAACACGCCACCUUCAUUGGAUAGUCCUUUGUCAAAGCCCGAUCUUUCUCAAACUCACUUCACAUGACAACAACAUUAAUUGCUAUUUUAUGCACAGACACAGACAGACUUCUUCACAAGUUUACUUCUUGGUAACUUACAAGUGCGCUGGUUGACAGCAUCCUCAAUUAGCAGAGUCAUUUCCAUAUCCUGGACAUAUACAUUGAUCAGAAAAGAUGACAAUUUAUUUUUAGACAGACGCAGACUGCAUAUUUUAAAUAUCCUUCCCAUUUGGCAAAAAUGGUGUUGUAGCUAAUGUAUGUACAAUAUUUCCAAAAACAUUGGUACUUUCCCAUAAAUAUCUUCCAUAUUUUUUUUUCAGUGAGUAAUAAAAAAGGUUGAGGUGGGAUGUGUUUUAUCCCAGCACAUUAUAUCAUUCCUAUUUUUCCUCUUGGUUGGAUGGCAGUCAGGGGCGCUGAUGCCAAGCUUUGGAAGCAACAGCAUCUGGCUCCUUGGCAGAGCCUGCGGGUAGACUUGUUGCCAGCCUCUAAGCUGUGUCUGGGUCUGUUGCAUGGUUUGGCUGCAGAUGGACUCUCUGGGUUGCCUCGUGCUUCUGGAAGCCAGUCCUGGCUUUCCUUUGAUUCUGAGGACUUUACUCAUUUUUAUUCAUUUGUGAAGAAGGGCCCAUCCAAAUGCUUUACGAAACCAACCCUGGAGAACAUUAACGGAUCAAAUUUUGCCUUUAAAAAGGCAGAGGUCAGUGGUGUCUUUGGACAGGGGCCUGGCUAUCAGAAGGUAGGCCUAUGUGUGUCCACAUGUCUUUUAGCAACUUCUGUUCUAAGGAGUUUGGAGAGAGGCCACUUAUGUGUUGCCAUCUUUCCUUCCCCCCAGGACGAGACUGUGUGGUUACCUGGAAGGACAGAAACACGGGGAGAGCUCCGACUUCCUCUGAUCAAUGCCAUGUCCCCUUCCUUUUGUUUUUGCAGUGGAUCAGACCACGAGAGAAUGAAUACACAACGGAGCCCUCUCGUCUUCUCUCCUCUUCCAUGUGAUUGCCCGGGUGACUUCUAGAAUGAGGGAUUCAUUCAUUGAAGACAUGACCUGCAUGCCAAGCACCAAAGUGAGUGAGGCCUGACGGUGUGGCUCCCCUUCACAGCACCUACCAGGCUUGCUCCACAAAGCAUAAAUUCCACUAGGACUGCCUGCCUGAGAGGAAGUCUUUAGGACCAAGAAAGCUUGCCGAGACAGACAGCCAUCUGACAAGAACUGAGGCCAGAAAUGUGAUGGAGUAAAAGAAAACUUAGCGAUCUUGGCCAGGUAACUUAGUGGCUUCAUCAGGACUUGGGGGUGUCUGCACAAGGGAUGAAGACAUCAGGGAAAGGUGCAGGGAAACCUGAAGUUUGGAAGACACCACAGAGCCCUUGUUAACACUCCUGGAACCCUAACAAGCCACAGAGACAGGGUGCAACCACAGUGACUCAUGCCAGUUGAGUGGCUUACUCGCUCUGGAGUGAUCCGCACCUGGCUGGGAUUUUACCUUUGCUUCUCAGGACUCGUGUGACCACAGAUACGUCAAUCUUGUCCAGCCUCAGUUUUCUCAUCAGUAAAUUUGGGUAUGAAAAUAGUUUCGCUUUCUCCUGGAAUUAUUGUGAAGUGAUGUGAAGUAGUGCCUGGCACAUCAGAGUCCAAUAACGAACUAAGCUAUUAGUAUAUGAUGAGAGCAGUAUCAGGGCCACAGCCAGGAGUGUGGACAGGUGAUGGUCCCGGUUUAGGCACAGAGUAGGGAAUGCAUGCUUUCUGAUGCUGACUUUUCAUCAGAGCUGUGGCUUCCAAACUAGGCAUAGCUUUGGAAUAAGGCACCUAUUCUGGAUAUCCUGGUCUAGUUCAUUUCCCACCCUUACUCCUUUCUGCACACACCAGUCACUCAUUUUAUUGCUAAUCCCAGGGCACCAGAGUUCCCAGAAUGGCAUCAGGCCCUUGUCACAACCCUGGAGACAAUCCGUAACACAUUGUAUCUUCAGCCCCUCAAAGGAACAAGAGAAGUACAUACCUGAGAACCAAAUACCCUGAUUUCACCACUUUCAGCAAAUGUUUGUGGCACAAAAUAUGCUGUACUCUUAGCAAGAGCCAAAGGGCCUGAGCUUGUAAACUGCUAAGAAAGCUCCAUUUUCUUACUAAGAGGAUCAUUUCUUUGGCUGGAGCCCAGCAAAAAGCUCCCUGGAUCAUAGUGCUGACUACGAAUGAGCCUCAGGUGUGUCUACAUCUCACAGACAAGGAGAGUUACAGGUAAGUAAGGGAAUCCUGGCAAAUAUACAAGAUGGGAGGGAGGCAGGCAAGGAGGCAGGGAAGAAAGACAGACAGGAAUAUGACAAAAUCACCUGCAUGCGUAUUUCAGGUGGGACCUGAUGUGGCUUUAGGGAAGGAAAUCUCUGAAUUCAGAAAUAUCAACUUUUCUUAUCCAAUGACUCUAAUUGAAAGAGGAAUAAUUUUUAUUGGGUAAAUUUGGUUAUUUUUUACUUGUAUGAUUUCCAAAGGUGAAUAUGAAUUUCAUCUCUGAUGGGGCAUUACCACUACUACAGUAUGACAAAUUGUAAUUUAUGCAAAAAAUAGGAGAUUUGUUCCAAAACAAUGAUUCCCUGGUACCCACCAUUAGGUUAGUGUCCGGGUAUUACUUGUUACAAUAUUAGGAGCAUCAAAAGGUCAUGAGAUUAUGAUAUUAUAACUAAUAAUUCUUGAUAUAAACUUUAUGAUGGUCUCUGAUUUUUUUUACUAGCUUUUGAAAUUUAAAUUCUUAGAGAACUGAGUCAGUAGACUAUUGCAUCACCCAAAGACUCUUAGGGCUUUGAGUUAGGUUCAAAAUUUCUCAGAAAAUCUUCAAUAUCCUAAAUAGAUAUCUCUGUUUCCAGUUAAAUCUAAGCUGAUUAUCCUCAAAAAGCAAUGAGACAGGGGCACCUGGGUGACUUAGUCAGUUGAGUGUCUGACUCUUGAUUUCAGCUCAAGUCAUGAUCUCAGGGUGGUGAGAUUGAGCCCCGCAUCAGGCUCCAUGCUCAGUGUGGCGUUCUCUCUCUCCCUCUACCUUUGCCCCUCCCCCCACUCACACGCAUUCUCUUUCUCUCUUAAUAAAUAGAUAAAUAAAAUCUUAGAAAAAAAAUAA